rnacentral:rRNA from 1 species
UUGACCUCAAAUCAGGUAGGACUACCCGCUGAACUUAAGCAUAUCAAUAAGCGGAGGAAAAGAAACUAACAAGGAUUCCCCUAGUAACUGCGAGUGAAGCGGGAUGAGCUCAAAUUUUGAAUCUGGCGGUCUUUGGCCGUCCGAGUUGUAAUCUAGAGAAGCGUCUUCCGCGCUGGACCGUGUACAAGUCUCCUGGAAGGGAGCGUCAUAGAGGGUGAGAAUCCCGUCUUUGCCACGGACUACCAGUGCUAUGUGAUGCGCUCUCGACGAGUCGAGUUGUUUGGGAAUGCAGCUCAAAAUGGGUGGUAAACUCCAUCUAAAGCUAAAUACAGGCGAGAGACCGAUAGCGAACAAGUACCGUGAGGGAAAGAUGAAAAGAACUUUGGAAAGAGAGUUAAACAGUACGUGAAAUUGCUGAAAGGGAAACGCUUGAUGUCAGUCGCGUCGGCUGGGGAUCAACCUUGCUUUUUCGCUGGGUGCAUUUCCUGGUCGAUGGGUCAGCAUCAGUUUCACUCGCCGUACAAUGGCAAAGGGAACGUGGCACUCUUCGGAGUGUGUUAUAGCCUUUCGUCAUAUGCGGUGGUCGGGACUGAGGAACUCGGCACGACUUCGGUCUG